rnacentral:rRNA from 1 species
CCAAGGAGUCUAACAUGGACGCAAGUCUAAGGGUCUUGUCUAGGCUCUCAGGCGUAAUGAAAGUAAUGCAUAUUGUGCGUGCCACGGUGUGUACAGUAAUUGCGAAUAUGAUGCCUAUUGUGGUCAAAUUCUGGCUGCUAUAUGGUACUAUAUAAGCAAUGGCCCGUGAUAUUUGCCGCUGGCAAUUUUGCGGAGUCUUAGCGUCUACGUUGGUACCCGAAAGAUGGUGAACUAUGCUUGGGGCAGAUGAAGCCAGAGGAAACUCUGGUGGAGGUCUGUAGCGAUUCUGACGUGCAAAUCGAUCGUCAGACCCGAGUAUAGGGGCGAAAGACUAAUCGAACCAUC